GUAGUCCACGCCCUAAACGAUGUCAACUAGUUGUUGGGGAUUCAUUUCCUUAGUAACGAAGCUAACGCGUGAAGUUGACCGCCUGGGGAGUACGGUCGCAAGAUUAAAACUCAAAGGAAUUGACGGGGACCCGCACAAGCGGUGGAUGAUGUGGAUUAAUUCGAUGCAACGCGAAAAACCUUACCUACCCUUGACAUGGCCGGAAUCCUGCUGAGAGGCGGGAGUGCUCGAAAGAGAAUCGGCGCACAGGUGCUGCAUGGCUGUCGUCAGCUCGUGUCGUGAGAUGUUGGGUUAAGUCCCGCAACGAGCGCAACCCUUGUCCUUAGUUGCUACGCAAGAGCACUCUAGGGAGACUGCCGGUGACAAACCGGA
rnacentral:rRNA from 1 species